rnacentral:rRNA from 1 species
UAACACGUGGAUAAUCUACCCUUAAGAGAGGAAUAACCUCGGGAAACUGAGGACAAUACCUUAUAGGCCUGGGAGGCUGGAAUGCUCCAAGGUUAAAAGCGUUAGCGCUUAAGGAUGAGUCUGCGGCCUAUCAGGUAGUAGUGGGUGUAAGUGACCCACUAGCCUAUGACGGGUACGGGCCUUGAGAGAGGGAGCCCGGAGAUGGGAUCUUAGACACGAUCCCAGACCCUACGGGGUGCAGCAGUUGCGAAACCUUCACAAUGUGGGAAACCACGAUGAGGAGAUUCCAAGUGCCAACACCCAGUGUUGGCUUUUCAUCUGUCUAAACCGCAGUUGGAAUAAGGGCCGGGAAAGACUGGUGCCAGCCGCCGCGGUAACACCAGCGGCUCGAGUGGUGACCUUUAUUAUUGAGCUUAAAGCGUCCGUAGCCGGUCUGGUAAAUCUCUGGGUAAAUCGAAUGGCUUAACCAUUCGAAUACCAGGGAGACUGCUAGACUUGGGGCCGGGAGAGGCUAGAGGUACUCCUGGGGUAGAGGUAAAAUUCUGUAAUCUUAGGAGGACCACCAGUGGCGAAAGCGUCUAGCUAGAACGGACCCGACGGUGAGGGACGAAGCCCUGGGGCGCGAACCGGAUUAGAUACCCGGGUAGUCCAGGGUGUAAACGAUGUGGGUUUGGUGUCGGAAGUCUUACGCGGGCAUCCGGUGCCGUAUAGAAAUUGUUAAGCCCACCGCUUGGGAAGUACGGUCGCAAGACUGAAACUUAAAGGAAUUGGCGGGGGAGC